GAUGAACGCUGGCGGCGUGCCUAAUACAUGCAAGUCGAGCGAAUGGAUUAAGAGCUUGCUCUUAUGAAGUUAGCGGCGGACGGGUGAGUAACACGUGGGUAACCUGCCCAUAAGACUGGGAUAACUCCGGGAAACCGGGGCUAAUACCGGAUAACAUUUUGAACCGCAUGGUUCGAAAUUGAAAGGCGGCUUCGGCUGUCACUUAUGGAUGGACCCGCGUCGCAUUAGCUAGUUGGUGAGGUAACGGCUCACCAAGGCAACGAUGCGGAGCCGACCGGAGGGGGUGAUCGGCCACACUGGGAAUGAGACACGGCCCAGACUCCUACGGGAGGCAGCAGUAGGGAAUCUUCCGCAAUGGACGAAAGUCUGACGGAGCAACGCCGCGUGAGUGAUGAAGGCUUUCGGGUCGUAAAACUCUGUUGUUAGGGAAGAACAAGUGCUAGUUGAAUAAGCUGACACCUUGACGGUACCUAACCAGAAAGCCACGGCUAACUACGUGCCAGCAGCCGCGGUAA
rnacentral:rRNA from 1 species